rnacentral:rRNA from 1 species
GACGAACCGAGCGAACGUUGUUCGGAAUAACUGGGCUUAAAGGGCGCGUAGGCGGGCCGCCAAGUUCGAGGUGAAAUCCUCCGGCUCAACCGGAGAACUGCCUCGAAUACUGGAGGCCUCGAGGCGGGUAGGGGCGUGCGGAACUGUGGGUGGAGCGGUGAAAUGCGUUGAUACCCACAGGAACUCCGGUGGCGAAGGCGGCACGCUGGACCCGAUCUGACGCUGAGGCGCGAAAGCCAGGGGAGCAAACGGG